rnacentral:rRNA from 1 species
AACGUAGGAGACAAACGUUAUCCGGGGUUACUGGGCGUAAAGGGCGUGCAGGUGGUCUGUUAAGUCUGGCGUGAGAGCUCCUGGCUAAACCGGGAGAGGUCGUUGGAUACUGGCGGACUAGAGGACGGUAGAGGCGUGUGGAAUUCCGGGUGUAGUGGUGAAAUGCGUAGAGAUCCGGAGGAACACCAGUGGCGAAGGCGACACGCUGGGCCGUACCUGACACUGAUACGCGACAGCAUGGGGAGCGAACGGG